rnacentral:rRNA from 1 species
GUGGCGAGUGGCGAACGGGUGAGUAAUGCGUCGGAACGUACCGAGUAAUGGGGGAUAACGCACCGAAAGGUGUGCUAAUACCGCAUACGCCCUGAGGGGGAAAGUGGGGGAUCGUAAGACCUCACGUUAUUCGAGCGGCCGACGUCUGAUUAGCUUGUUGGUGAGGUAAUGGCUCACCAAGGCGACGAUCAGUAGCGGGUCUGAGAGGAUGAUCCGCCACACUGGAACUGAGACACGGUCCAGACUCCUACGGGAGGCAGCAGUGGGGAAUUUUGGACAAUGGGGGCAACCCUGAUCCAGCCAUUCCGCGUGAGUGAAGAAGGCCUUCGGGUUGUAAAGCUCUUUCAGCUGGAACGAAACGGUACAUCUUAAUACGGUGUGCUAAUGACGGUACCGGCAGAAGAAGCACCGGCUAACUACGUGCCAGCAGCCGCGGUAAUACGUAGUGUGCGAGCGUUAAUCGGAAUUACUGGGCGUAAAGCGUGCGCAGGCGGACUGUUAAGCAAGAUGUGAAAUCCCCGGGCUUAACCUGGGAAUGGCAUUUUGAACUGGCAGUCUAGAGUGUGUCGGAGGGGGGUGGAAUUCCACGUGUAGCAGUGAAAUGCGUAGAUAUGUGGAGGAACACCAAUGGCGAAGGCAGCCCCCUGGGAUAACACUGACGCUCAUGUACGAAAGCGUGGGUAGCAAACAGGAUUAGAUACCCUGGUAGUCCACGCCCUAAACGAUGUCAACUGGUUGUUGGGGGAGUGAAAUCCCUUAGUAACGAAGCUAACGCGUGAAGUUGACCGCCUGGGGAGUACGGUCGCAAGAUUAAAACUCAAAGGAAUUGACGGGGACCCGCACAAGCGGUGGAUGAUGUGGAUUAAUUCGAUGCAACGCGAAAAACCUUACCUACCCUUGACAUGUCCAGAAUCCUGCAGAGAUGUGGAGUGCCCGAAAGGGAAUUGGAACACAGGUGCUGCAUGGCUGUCGUCAGCUCGUGUCGUGAGAUGUUGGGUUAAGUCCCGCAACGAGCGCAACCCUUAUCAUUAGUUGCUACGCAAGGGCACUCUAAUGAGACUGCCGGUGACAAACCGGAGGAAGGUGGGGAUGACGUCAAGUCCUCAUGGCCCUUAUGGGUAGGGCUUCACACGUCAUACAAUGGUCGGUACAGAGGGUUGCCAAGCCGCGAGGUGGAGCCAAUCCCAGAAAGCCGAUCGUAGUCCGGAUUGUUCUCUGCAACUCGAGAGCAUGAAGUCGGAAUCGCUAGUAAUCGCGGAUCAGCAUGUCGCGGUGAAUACGUUCCCGGGUCUUGUACACACCGCCCGUCACACCAUGGGAGUGGAAUCUGCCAGAAGUAGGUAGCCUAACCGC